CCGUAACGUUGGGUGCUAGACGUGGGGGCCUUCCACGGUUUCCGUGUCGUAGCUAACGCAUUAAGCACCCCGCCUGGGGGAGUACGGCCGCAAGGCUAAAACUCAAAGGAAUUGACGGGGGCCCGCACAAGCGGCGGAGCAUGCGGAUUAAUUCGAUGCAACGCGAAGAACCUUACCAAGGCUUGACAUAUAGAGGAAACGGCCAGAGAUGGUCGCCCCGCAAGGUCUCUAUACAGGUGGUGCAUGGUUGUCGUCAGCUCGUGUCGUGAGAUGUUGGGUUAAGUCCCGCAACGAGCGCAACCCUUGUCCUAUGUUGCCAGCGGUUCGGCCGGGAACUCAUGGGAGACUGCCGUGGUCAACACGGAGGAAGGUGGGGAUGACGUCAAAUCAUCAUGCCCCUUAUGUCUUGGGCUUCACGCAUGCUACAAUGGCCGGUACAGAGGGCUGCGAUACCGCGAGGUGGAGCGAAUCCCUUAAAGCCGGUCUCAGUUCGGAUUGGGGUCUGCAACUCGACCCCAUGAAGUCGGAGUCGCUAGUAAUCGCAGAUCAGCAACGCUGCGGUGAAUACGUUCCCGGGCCUUGUACACACCGCCCGUCAAGUCACGAAAUU
rnacentral:rRNA from 1 species